rnacentral:rRNA from 1 species
AGAGUUUGAUCCUGGCUCAGGACGAACGCUGGCGGCGUGCUUAACACAUGCAAGUCGAACGGAAAGGCCCUUCGGGGUACUCGAGUGGCGAACGGGUGAGUAACACGUGGGUGAUCUGCCCUGCACUUUGGGAUAAGCCUGGGAAACUGGGUCUAAUACCGAAUAGGACCACGCGCUUCAUGGUGUGUGGUGGAAAGCUUUUGCGGUGUGGGAUGGGCCCGCGGCCUAUCAGCUUGUUGGUGGGGUAAUGGCCUACCAAGGCGACGACGGGUAGCCGGCCUGAGAGGGUGACCGGCCACACUGGGACUGAGAUACGGCCCAGACUCCUACGGGAGGCAGCAGUGGGGAAUAUUGCACAAUGGGCGCAAGCCUGAUGCAGCGACGCCGCGUGAGGGAUGACGGCCUUCGGGUUGUAAACCUCUUUCACCAGGGACGAAGCGCAAGUGACGGUACCUGGAGAAGAAGCACCGGCCAACUACGUGCCAGCAGCCGCGGUAAUACGUAGGGUGCGAGCGUUGUCCGGAAUUACUGGGCGUAAAGAGCUCGUAGGUGGUUUGUCGCGUUGUUCGUGAAAACUCACAGCUUAACUGUGGGCGUGCGGGCGAUACGGGCAGACUAGAGUACUGCAGGGGAGACUGGAAUUCCUGGUGUAGCGGUGGAAUGCGCAGAUAUCAGGAGGAACACCGGUGGCGAAGGCGGGUCUCUGGGCAGUAACUGACGCUGAGGAGCGAAAGCGUGGGGAGCGAACAGGAUUAGAUACCCCGGUAGUCCAA